rnacentral:rRNA from 1 species
UCUAAGUACGUGCCUAAGAAAGGUGAAACCGCGAAUGGCUCAUUAAAUCAGUUAUGGUUCCUUAGAUCGUACCUUACUACUUGGAUAACUGUGGUAAUUCUAGAGCUAAUACAUGCAGCAGAGCUCCGACCUUCGGGGACGAGCGCUUUUAUUAGACCAAGACCAAUCGGACUUCGGUCCGAAGCUCAUGGUGACUCUGGAUAACUUUGGGCUGAUCGCACGGUCUCGUACCGGCGACGCAUCUUUCAAGUGUCUGCCUUAUCAACUUUCGAUGGUAGGUUAUGCGCCUACCAUGGUCGUAACGGGUAACGGGGAAUCAGGGUUCGAUUCCGGAGAGGGAGCCUGAGAAACGGCUACCACAUCCAAGGAAGGCAGCAGGCGCGCAAAUUACCCACUCCCGGCACGGGGAGGUAGUGACGAAAAAUAACAAUACGGGACUCUAUUGAGGCCCCGUAAUUGGAAUGAGUACACUCUAAAUCCUUUAACGAGGAUCUAUUGGAGGGCAAGUCUGGUGCCAGCAGCCGCGGUAAUUCCAGCUCCAAUAGCGUAUAUUAAAGUUGUUGCGGUUAAAAAGCUCGUAGUUGGAUCUCAGUUCCAGACGGGUGGUCCACCUUUGGUGGUUACUGCCUGGCCUGAACAAAUCCAGCCGGUUUUCCUUGAUGCUCUUCACCGAGUGUCUUGGGUGACCGGCACGUUUACUUUGAAAAAAUUAGAGUGCUCAAAGCAGGCGUGACGCCUGAAUAAUGGUGCAUGGAAUAAUGGAAUAGGACCUCGGUUCUAUUUUGUUGGUUUUCGGAACACGAGGUAAUGAUUAAGAGGGACAGACGGGGGCAUUCGUAUUGCGACGCUAGAGGUGAAAUUCUUGGACCGUCGCAGGACGAACUACU